rnacentral:rRNA from 1 species
UUCUAAGGCCAUACCACCCUGAAUGCGCUCAAUCUCAUCUGAUCUCGGAAGCUAAGCAGAGUUGGUCCUGGUUAGUACUUGGAUGGGAGACCACCUGGGAAUACCAGGUGCUGUAGACA